UGAACGCUGGCGGCGUGCUUAACACAUGCAAGUCGAACGGGACUUGAGAAUUGAAGUACUCGUAUGGAUUUCUAAGUUAGUGGCGGACGGGUGAGUAACGCGUGGGCAACCUGCCGUAUGCAGGGGGACAACAGUUGGAAACGACUGCUAAUACCGCAUAAGCGCACAGCAUCGCAUGGUGCAGUGUGAAAAGAUUUAUCGGCAUACGAUGGGCCCGCGUUGGAUUAGGUAGUUGGCGGAGUAACGGCCCACCAAGCCAUCGAUCCAUAGCCGACCUGAGAGGGUGAUCGGCCACAUUGGGACUGAGACACGGCCCAAACUCCUACGGGAGGCAGCAGUGGGGAAUAUUGCACAAUGGGGGAAACCCUGAUGCAGCGACGCCGCGUGAGUGAAGAAGUAUUUCGGUAUGUAAAGCUCUAUCAGCAGGGAAGAAAAUGACGGUACCUGACUAAGAAGCCCCGGCUAACUACGUGCCAGCCGCAGC
rnacentral:rRNA from 1 species